CUUCCCAAACUUGGCCUCCCUUCUCGGCUGUGGAGUAUCAACCGGUACACUUGAAAUUCCCAAACUAAGUUGAAAUAUUUGAGAAAUGCAGAGUGAACAAAAGAGAAAAGGAAUUUUAGAGAAAGUAAUAUAAUAGUUGCUCUGUAAUUGUAUGAAUGAAUUAACUAUUCAAUAUAGAGAGUUAACAAUUUAUACAACAACUAAUCACCUUGCUUAGCUCUCAUGGCACAUACUUAACAGACUAAAAACACUAACAAUCUCUAAACUGAUCUGCUGAGCUGGACCAUUAACCUCUGUUUAUGUCCCAGCCACUCAUCUUUCGGCUCUUAUCACUAUUUGCAAAAUCUAGAGUUGCAGAAACCCCAUUCUUAAUGAAUAUUAUUUUUUGCUGAUAAUUAAUUGAUGAUUAAUCUAUUCCAUUAUUAUUAUUUUAUCGUCAAAUACUUUGAAUAUUCAUUAGCAAAAGAUAUAGGGUUAAUUAUUUAAUGAAUACAAUUUUGAUGGUUGAUUGCAUUUCGUCAGUUAUAAAUAUGGUGAAUCCAUUAUUCAAUACUAGCUGAAUAAUCAUAAUGCUUUGGCCACUUAUCUUGAAUUCUGUUCAAAUUGAUGAAGUCGCAUGUUUCUUAAAUGGAAACCUGUGUUCUUUGAAUUUGGCUUUUACAAUUGAAGUCAAAUUGACUCUGGCUUCAGCGACAUUUGUAAAUCUUGUGUUCUGAAAAUUACUCUACACAUCGUGACCUGCAUUUCUAACUAUUUAUUGGUCUAUACUUUAGAGAUAAUGUACAUCAUUUUACUUUUUGUUAUGCAUGUGACUGUGAUCUUGAAUAUUUGAUAUUCUUUGAGAUUUUCAGCAUUCAGGUUUUGAAAAUUCUGAACUUUAUUCUUUUGUUUUUUUUCCUGUUUUAUCAAGAAUUGAGCCAUGGUCCUUUAAACAACAUUUGGGGCAAGCUGUUUUUAUCCCUGCUGGAUGCCCUUUUCAAGUCAGGAAUCUUCAGGUGUACAUCUUGCAGAAAUUACAAGGUAUGCUACAAUAUAUACUUCUUUGGUAGAUUUGAUUCAAAUUGAUAGAUUUCAGUAAGAAAGAAACUUUUAUCUUUUCUUUCAGUUAAGGACUCUUGGAACUUCAAAUUUGUAAAAGAUGUCAAUAUUAGAACAAUGGCAAUAGAACCGCCAAUCCAUAUGAUUGUAAACAGAUUUCAACAUAUAUCUAAAUACUAUUGCAGAUCGUAUGUA